rnacentral:rRNA from 1 species
UCGAGCGCAGGAACCAGAUGACCCCUUCGGGGUGAUUCUGGCGGAAUGAGCGGCGGACGGGUGAGUAACACGUGGGCAACCUGCCUGUAAGACUGGGAUAACUUCGGGAAACCGGAGCUAAUACCGGAUAGUAUUUCCUUUCUCCUGAUUGGAAAUGGAAAGACGGUUUCGGCUGUCACUUACAGAUGGGCCCGCGGUGCAUUAGCUAGUUGGUGGGGUAAUGGCCCACCAAGGCGACGAUGCAUAGCCGACCUGAGAGGGUGAUCGGCCACACUGGGACUGAGACACGGCCCAGACUCCUACGGGAGGCAGCAGUAGGGAAUCUUCCGCAAUGGACGAAAGUCUGACGGAGCAACGCCGCGUGAGCGAUGAAGGCCUUCGGGUCGUAAAGCUCUGUUGUUAGGGAAGAACAAGUACGAGAGUAACUGCUCGUACCUUGACGGUACCUAACCAGAAAGCCCCGGCUAACUACGUGCCAGCAGCCGCGGUAAUACGUAGGGGGCAAGCGUUGUCCGGAAUUAUUGGGCGUAAAGGGCUCGUAGGCGGUUUCUUAAGUCUGAUGUGAAAGCCCACAGCUCAACUGUGGAGGGUCAUUGGAAACUGGGGAACUUGAGUGCAGAAGAGGAGAGUGGAAUUCCACGUGUAGCGGUGAAAUGCGUAGAUAUGUGGAGGAACACCAGUGGCGAAGGCGACUCUCUGG